rnacentral:rRNA from 1 species
GACGAACGCUGGCGGCGUGCUUAACACAUGCAAGUCGAACGGUAAGGCCCUGCUUUUGUGGGGUGCUCGAGUGGCGAACGGGUGAGUAAAACGUGAGUAACCUGCCCUUUACUUCGGGGUAAAUUCAGGAAAAUGGGGUUCUUACCCGAUAGGAACUCCUUCUGCAUGGUGUGGAUUGGAGAGUUGCGCCGUUUCAGGACGGACUCGCGGCUCAUCGGCUUGUUGGUGGGUUAGUGGCUUAGCAAGGCGCUGACGGGUAGCCGGCCUGGGAGGGUGACCGGCCCCAUAGGGACUGGGAUACGACCCAGACGCCUACGGGAGGCAGCAGUGAAGAAUAGUGCACGAUGGGCGGAGGCAUGAUGCAGCAACGCCGCGUGCGGGAUGACGGCCUGCGGGGUGGAAACCGCUUUCGCCUGUGACGAAGCGUGAGUGACGGUAAUGAGUAAAGAAGCACCGGCUAACUACGUG